CGACACCAUUCAAAGUGGAACCACGCUGGAGAAAGCGGGAUGAUCAACGUGCAUUAACCAGCCGCAACAGUGUGUGAUGUUCUCUCUUGGAUUUAGUCUCUGUCUGUCAUUAAGGGAUCUGAUGGAUUGAGACAGCACUGGGGAGAAGAGCUUGAUGCUGAUGAGGAUACUGCAAAGCAGAAGAUAGCAGACCUCUAAACAGCAGUGGCAUGAAAGGCGCAGGAUCCAUUACAACUGCACGUGUGUGUGUGUGGACGCAGAUGACCUUUGGUGCCCCCGCUGAAUGCCCCAUGCACCAGAAGGACAACCCCAUCUGAUCUACCCCAUCUGCUAUCAAGAC
ensembl:lncRNA